GCGGAGGAAAAGAAACCAACCGGGAUUGCCUUAGUAACGGCGAGUGAAGCGGCAAAAGCUCAAAUUUGAAAUCUGGUACCUUCGGUGCCCGAGUUGUAAUUUGGAGAGGGCAACUUUGGGGCCGUUCCUUGUCUAUGUUCCUUGGAACAGGACGUCAUAGAGGGUGAGAAUCCCGUGUGGCGAGGAGUGCGGUUCUUUGUAAAGUGCCCUCGAAGAGUCGAGUUGUUUGGGAAUGCAGCUCUAAGUGGGUGGUAAAUUCCAUCUAAAGCUAAAUAUUGGCGAGAGACCGAUAGCGAACAAGUACAGUGAUGGAAAGAUGAAAAGAACUUUGAAAAGAGAGUGAAAAAGUACGUGAAAUUGUUGAAAGGGAAGGGCAUUUGAUCAGACAUGGUGUUUUGUGCCCUCUGCUCCUUGUGGGUAGGGGAAUCUCGCAUUUCACUGGGCCAGCAUCAGUUUUGGUGGCAGGAUAAAUCCAUAGGAAUGUAGCUUGCCUCGGUAAGUAUUAUAGCCUGUUGGGAAUACUGCCAGCUGGGACUGAGGACUGCGACGUAAGUCAAGGAUG
rnacentral:rRNA from 1 species